CCUAUAAGGUGAGUCAGAAUCGACUCAGUGGCAUUGAGUUUGGUUUUGAGUUUUGGAUCAUCCCAGCGCCCUCCAGGGGGCGCUGUCACACACUUUGGGAAACACUGGGUUACCGAGAGCAGCUGGCAACAGGGCCUUCGGAAGCACACAGCUGGAAACAAUAGCUUCCCACGUGGACGUUUUUUGUUCCGUUUCUGUGAUUUGGCAGCUGUGCCCUCGGACUGACCCUGCUGUGAAAUCCUAACUCUCCUGACUCCUAAUAUCCACAGAGGUCAGUACUGGCCAGCUAGGCAUGGCACAGGAGGACCAGACCCCAUCCUGGAGUGGCCGGGUCAGCAGUUACAGCGGAGACUUGAAGGGUCUCACAGGAGAAGGAGGGCCUCUCAGGUUUGUGGGGUCAGGACAGCCUUGAGAACGUCACCACCUGACGGAGAGACAGAGGCACACAAACUAGUGUGACAAGGACAAGCAGCAUCCGAGCCCUGUGUCUGCCAGCACCUUAUGAAACUGGCCUGUUCCUCGGCAGAGGGCCUUUACAGAGGCGAUGACACGGAGGACCUCGAGGGGGCGAGGAGCCUCGGGCUGCUGGAUGGCCUGGGUCACCACAGGGCCCUUACAGAUGGAGGCAGGAGGGCCAAAGACAGAGCAAGACGGGAAACUGCUGUCCUGCUCACGGAAGGAGGAGAACCAGAGGCAUGCUGGGACAAUGAACCGAGGAGGAGGGAAGCUGUGAAGGCAACCGAGGAAGGAAACCUCCCAGGGCUGGUACCCCGCGUCUGUGGUUGCUGCGAACACCCCUGGAUGGGAAAGAGCAAUCUCUUCAAUAAAUGGUGCUGGGAAAAUGCAGUCCGUACCUCACAGCAUACGCACGUAGCAAAUUCAGCAUGAAUCCGCCUAGAGGUGCAAACCAAACCCACAAAAGUGCUUAAAACGGGUGGGGAACAUCUGACUCUGGCCAUACAAGGUCAACAUCACACGCUUCACCAAAGAGAAGCAGUUCCAACCAUCACAGACGUGACUUAGCGAAAUAUUUUGACCAGUAUGGACCCCGAAUGAUGUUCUAGAAAUCCAAAUGGCCCUUUGUCAGAAAAAAGGUUCCCCACCCCUGCCUUAGAAGAGCAGGUAGGGGCAGUGCUGCCUGGCCUAGCUGUCAUCUGCUAAAACAGAAGCACGCACAGCAAGAAAUCUCAUUAAAAAAUAGGAUCUCAUAAAACUGAACAUUUGUUCUUCCAGAGAUUUUACAAAACAACAUGAAAAGACAAGCUACCAACCGGAAGAACAUCUGCAGGGUGACAUGAUUGCAGUGGUCCAAAUAACCGUAAGACUGUGGCAAGCGUGCAAAGAUAACAGUCGUAGAAAUGGGCAGAAGACUUUGACAUUCGAGUGGCCACCAAACACUUGGAAGGGUCUCAGCAUCAUGAGCCAUCAAGCCCCUGCCAGCUAGUGGACUCCAACCCCGCUUAACCUUGUAGGGCAGCAUCAAGCUGGCAGGCUGCCUCAUCUUCCGCUGUCAGAGUGGCUGAUGGGCGCAAACCGCCAACCUUUCAGUUAGGAGCAGAGCGCUUUAACCACUGCGCCCCCAGGUCACCACAAUGAGAUGCCAUUUCGCUCCCACUCCAAUGGGCAAAGAAAGUGGGAGAAUGGGGGUGGAGUGGGGGGGAAGGAACCCACGUCUGUCAGGUGGUGAGACUACAGAAUGGUCCAGCUGUGGAGAAAGCAUGGCAGUGCCUCAGAAACUGGAAAUGAGAACAAACCGUACUAAGUGUCAUGGAGUUGGUUCCGGCCCAUAGUGACCCUGUGCCGGCCUCCCAAUUGUACCCAUGCCCGAACUGUUGAUGCAGUCGCUGCGUGUCAAUCCAGCUCAUGUCGGGCCUUCCUCUUUUCCAAACAAUAUUGAAACCUUAGAAUUCAGUCUCAUUCGAUCACUAGGACCUCAUUAGAAGAACCAUAAGCUUUACUGCUGUCGAGUCAGAGCGACCCCCUGUGGGUUUCCUAGACUGUGGGAGUAAACAGCCCAGUCUUUCUCCUGAGGAGCUGCUGCUGGUUUCCAACUGCCAACCAGUUUGCCUUGUGGGUCAAGUCUCAGCCCACCUCGUCACCACUGCACCACCAGGGCUCUCCAUGACUCAGUAAUUCCACUCCUCAGUCCAGCCCAAAGGGCUUGAAAGCAGAAAGUCCCCCCAAAGAGGCUUGGACACCAGUGGUGGGUGCAGCAGUCUUGCCAGGAGCCAGAUGGCAGAGACCACCUGAAUGCCUAUUAAACGGGGGACCGGAUGAACAAAAUGGCCAUACCCGCAGUGGACACAACUCAGCCAACAGGCGAAACAGUGUCUUGCUCCGUGCUACAGUUUGGACGGAGCUCAAAGACAUUCAGCUGAGUGAGAUAAGCCGAUCACAGGCGCACAACUAUAGUUUGCCCUCGCUUAAAAAGCAAGGAGAGGGAAGAACAGAGUGUCCUAGUGACUACCGGGCAGGACAGGGUUACUGCUUCUGGAGUGCCCUGCUCGAGUUUCACGGUGAGGGGACACAACCUGGGUAAGGGGCAGGUUGGACACUCGUGCACCAGCAGAAGUUGGGGUGAGAGACGUAGGCUGAGAUUUGGCUCUUGGUUGGGAGGUUGGAGUUGUGGUUUCAUUGGACAGCCAGUGAAUUGGCUUAAUCAGGUGUUUGAUGCUGCUUCUGUUCCAUCCCUUUGUUGUUUGCUUAGUGCCUGAGGUCCGACAAGCCUGCUCCAGGCCAUUCCAGACCCAGGCCAGCAAGCGGUCUCUCCCCCUGGUGCAGCAAAGGAAGAAGGUGGGGCAGGGGCAAGAGGAGGAAGUGGCUUGUGUGACUGCUUAUGUCCUUGGCCCCCAGGCCAGAACUGGAUGAUCCCAGCUCCUGUUACUGAACAGUUUGGUCCAAGAGACCCUAGAGGAAUCCUCAU